rnacentral:rRNA from 1 species
CCUACGGGUGGCUGCAGUGGGGGAUAUUGCACAAUGGACGAAACUCUGAUGCAGCGACGCCGCGUGAGGGAAGACGGUCCUCGGAUUGUAAACCUCUGUCUUUGGGGAAGAAAAUGACGAUACCCCCAGAUGAAUCUCCGGCUAACUACGUGCCAGCAGCCGCGGCAAUACGUAGGGGGCAAGCGUUAUCCGGAUUUACUGGGUGUAAUGGGGGCGCAGACGGCGAUGCAAGCCAGCAGUGAAAGCCCGGGGCCCAACCCCGGUACUGCUCUUGGAACUGCGUGGCUGGAGUGCAGGAGGGGCAGGCGGAAGUCCUGGUGUAGCGGUGAAAUGCGUAGAUAUAAGGAGGAACACCGGUGGCGAAGGCGGCCUGCUGGACUGCAACUGACGUUGAGGCGCGAAAGCGUGGGGAGCAAACAGGAUUAGAUACCCGUGUAGUC